CUUGCAGAAGACAACGUUCAAGGUCAGAACAUUCUCUCUCAAUUUAUGCGAACAGGAGCAGCUAACAGGGGAGUUUGGCGACGGAGUUCUCCAGCGCACACAGCUCAGCAAAGCAGCAGUAUCCGGCAGAAGCGGGGCAUGCAGCCACUGCCAUGACAACCCCAAGGGCAGGAGGUGACCAGAGAUGGAUCACAGGCACAGGGAGCAGAAAGCCCCCACCAAUCCAAGCCCCAAGAAUGAGGCGGCAGCAGCGCUGACAAAGCUGUGUCAAGCUGCUGAAAGACCAAGGUGUUACGGAAGCCUGCAUUCUUCAGAUCCAGGUUUCUCAGGACGUGUCAAAUGGACACAGUUUUCUUCACUGCCAAGGCUAGUUACCGGACCCGAACGCGGAUAGUAAGGACAAUGGCGAAGGAUGCAGAACCGUACCCAAGAGGAGCAGUAUUCACGUGCCCGCGGGCUGUGGCCAGAGGAUCUGCUGGAGUGGAAGCUGCCCUGGGCGCUGACGGGCUGUGGGGUGUCAUCCACGUUUGUUACUGAUCCCUGAGAGGACCUUCCCUAUUAUCCUGUGACUUCUUUUAAAGUAUAAGGUAUUGGAUCAGCUCAGUAUGGCACGAACAAGGAAGAAAGCCGGUGGCAACAGUAAGAGGAAAACUAACCCUGUAGCUCAGCCGUCUGAUUCAGUCCAUAUUUCAGCUGCUCAGCCUGGGACUCAUCAACACACAAUUCAUUAUGGUCAUUACUUUUGAAAAUGUUAUACUGGGUGUGAACAGCCAUAAUUUCCUAGAGACCUUGCUUUACAUUUCAACCCACACAUACGUGGGAGCGACAUAAAAGUAACUAUAGCAGCCUUGUUUCACCAAAUCCAAUGGCCAUUUGCAGAGUUCAUGGGUUUCCCUUGGAUAUUAUGAUCGUAGAUUCACACACCUUCCUAUCUGGAUCUGGUCGGUAAAUAAUCUGAAUUGAUUCAAGUCUCUUUACUUAAAUUUGGUAUUAUUCCUAAAUAUGCUUUCCAUGCAGGAAGUUCUUUUUGGCUCUUUCCCUACACAGACCAGUCCUAACCUUGUUGCUGUCUGUCACCAUACCCUUUACAAGUUCCUUUAAAUGUAACUUUCUCUUACUUGUGAAUUAAGUUGGCCAGUCCAUCCUACAGAACAAUAAAAAUUCUUCCUCCUGGAUAUGUACUUACUCUCCCUUAUGGUAAUUCAUAGACUAUAUACCAACUCCAGCUUUCCCACACAUGACAUUGUCUUUUACCUGGUGAAUGUACUAACAUGUCGUAAGACAAUGCUCAGGCUGCUAGUGAACACUGUUUAUGCUGACAAAUAAUGUUUCGUUGUUAUUGUGGUCCCCCGUCUGCCUGUAUCUACUUGUUGUCUCUUGUCUGACAGAAUGUACUUCUGUAUUCACACACUAUUGUAAUAAUCUUUGUACAGAGUAUGCCUUGUAAGGUAUCAUUUGAAAACGCAUAAUUUGCUGAUCAUUAUUGUCCCGGUAAAGAAUGUGCAGCAACACUGUAUGUGAAGUUAUAAGAUUUCACUGCAUGGUGUUAUUAACACAUGUCCCAAAUCCCAGAGCCCUGCCCAACCAAGGUUGGCAAACAGGUCUAUCUUAAACAAAAAAAAUGUGCACUCUGCUUAAUUUGUAUUUAAGCAGUAAACAGGGUCAUCAAACAGAAAGGGAAACAAAAAAAGCUCAAACAGGUAAGAGGAAAAAAAGCAGCAGGGAACAUUCUUCCAUAUAGAUUCUUUGUCUCCUGGUGUCCAGCUGGGAAUGUUUUUCAGGAGAGGGACUGAAACUAUAAAACAGAGAGACAAACACCCCAAGGCCCCCCCACCUUCCCUGCCCAUUGCAUUCACUGCCCCUGAAGAGACCAAGCAAGCAAGCAUUGGAGAAGGGUCCUCACCUACAGGGUUUGGUGAGUCAGACUGCUGAAAGCAUCUGAUGAGAAAUGUUGCUUGAAUGUGAUAACUUAAAUGAUGUGUUAAGCUUCUUAUCUUUAUUUCUGACUUAUGCCUCAUUACUUGUACUGUUGUAAAAUCUCUUCGU